GUGGAUGUAGCUCAGUGGUAGAGCCCCGGAUUGUGGUUCCGGCUGUCGAGGGUUCAAAUCCCUUCAUCCACCCCA
rnacentral:tRNA from 1 species